rnacentral:tRNA from 1 species
UGGGGUGUAGCUCAAUGGUAGAGUGCUUGCCUUGCAUGCAUGAGGCACUGGGUUUGAUCCUCAGCACCACAU